UUUCUUUUUCUUUUUCUUUUUUAUAUGGCUCCAAAUAAUGAAAUAAUAAGUAUAUCUUUACAAAAUUCAAAUUAUCAAGUUUAUUUCUUCAAAAGUCCAAUAAUGUUCGUAUUUGUUCCCAUGAUUUGUUACUGAUAAUUUUUUUAACAAUAAAUAUAUAAAAUAAUUAUUUUAUCCAUACAAGUUUGUUCUUAUAAAAAGCUAUCUUUCUUUCUUUCUCUUUUUUCGUCUUCACCGUC
rnacentral:lncRNA from 1 species